AUGCACUUUACAUGUCUGCGUUCCCUCUCUCCCUCCUUCCCCCCCCCCCCCCCAAUAAGAGAUUGAAGAUUUCUUGUCACUUGAGAGACUAUUUCAUUGAUUUAACAUGGCCCUGUUGCAUUUUGGCAGUUUUGAAGUUUUUUUUUCUUGGCAUUAAAGCAUAAAUGAGUUCUGAAUUGGUUUAUCAUGUGCAGUACUUAUCUUCUCCCAUUAAUUGGAGGUGUUCUUGUUCAUUGUUUAACUUCUCUUUCUUUCUUCCAAUUUUGUUCUGACAGUUAUAUGUGACAAACGCCUGCUCAUGCUGCAUUCAGUUUAAGAAUAUUAUUAUGGCCUGAUGGGUAGCAUUCCAUUUUUUAAAUGCGCGGUUUUUCUUGUGGCUUGAAUUUUUAAUGAAGCUUGUGAGAAGUUUAGGCGGGCUUUAUAAAUGUGUGAACAAGAAUUAUUGUGCAUCAGCUGUUUGCUUGAUGAACUUUUUGUUUGCACAGGUGAUGUCGUUCUCUCUUUGGUGAAAGCAUACUUGUCUGGUUGAUGGGUUGAGCUUGGUUUUGAGAAGUACAUCAUCAAUGUUUGAGUUUCUUCUUUUUAUUUGGAGGCUGGCUAGUUAUUGAGAUAUUGCAGCAUUGGAUUCUGCUCUUGUCCAGUAGAUGAUUCUUUAAUUU